GUGUCAGCCGCCGCGGUAAUACGUAGGUGGCAAGCGUUGUCCGGAAUUACUGGGUGUAAAGGGCGUGUAGGCGGGUUAUUAAGUCAGAUGUGAAAUUCCAGGGCUCAACCCUGGCGCUGCAUCUGAAACUGAUGAUCUUGAGUACUGGAGAGGGAAGCGGAAUUCCUAGUGUAGCGGUGAAAUGCGUAGAUAUUAGGAGGAACACCAGUGGCGAAGGCGGCUUUCUGGACAGUAACUGACGCUGAGGCGCGAAAGCGUGGGGAGCAAACAGGAUUAGAUACCCUGGUAGUCCACGCCGUAAACGAUGGAUACUAGGUGUGGGAGAGUCAAUCUUCCGUGCCGCAGUUAACACAAUAAGUAUCCCACCUGGGGAGUACGGCCGCAAGGUUGAA
rnacentral:rRNA from 1 species